rnacentral:rRNA from 1 species
GUACAAUUGGUAGAGGAGCAUUCUUAACUGCGACGAAGCUGUACCGAAAGGAGCAGUGGAGUGUUAAGAAGAGAGAAUGCCGGAAUGAGUAGCGAGAUAGAAGUGAGAAUCUUCUAGGCCGAAUAUCUAAGGUUUCCAGAGUAAAGCUGAUCUGCUCUGGGUAAGUCGGGACCUAAGGCGAGGUCGAAAGACGUAGUCGAUGGACAACAGGUUGAGAUUCCUGUACCUUAUAGAAACAGAACUGUGGGGACGCAGGGUGAAAGCCAGAGCCGGGAAUGGAAAGACCGGUACAAGCGAAGUACCAGACUGACAGGCAAAUCCGUCAGUCAAUGGGAAGGCGUGAUGUGGACCGAAAUAUAAGUAGGGAAGCUGGUGAGCAAACUGCCAAGAAAAGCUGCUAUUGUUUUCUAUAAGCCCGUACCGUAAACCGACACAGGUGGAUGAGGAGAGAAUCCUAAGGCCGACGGGAGAAGCAUUGUUAAGGAACUCGGCAAAAUGACCCCGUAACUUCGGGAGAAGGGGUGCCUGUAGAAAUACAGGCCGCAGAGAAUUGGCCCAAGCAACUGUUUAGCAAAAACACAGGUCUAUGCAAAACCGAAAGGUGAAGUAUAUGGGCUGACGCCUGCCCGGUGCUGGAAGGUUAAGGGGAGAUGUUAGCAGUCGACGUGUCGACUUGCGAAGCAUUGAACUUAAGCCCCAGUAAACGGCGGCCGUAACUAUAACGGUCCUAAGGUAGCGAAAUUCCUUGUCGGGUAAGUUCCGACCCGCACGAAAGGCGUAAUGAUUUGGGCACUGUCUCGACAAUGCACCCGGUGAAAUUGAAAUACCAGUGAAGAUGCUGGUUACCUGCGCCAGGACGGAAAGACCCCAUGGAGCUUUACUCUAGCUUGAUACUGGGAUUCGGUAUUGCAUGUACAGGAUAGGUGGGAGACUAGGAAGCGGUGACGCCAGUUGCCGCAGAGUCAUUGUUGGGAUACCACCCUUGCAGUAUUGAGUUUCUAACAUGUGCCCGUGAUCCGGGCAGUGGACAAUGUCAGGUGGGGAGUUUGACUGGGGCGGUCGCCUCCGAAAGGGUAUCGGAGGCGCUCAAAGGUCUUCUCAGAAUGGUUGGAAACCAUUCGCAGAGUGCAAAGGCAUAAGAAGGCUUGACUGCGACACCGACGGGUGGAGCAGGUACGAAAGUAGGACUUAGUGAUCCGGUGGUAUAAAGUGGGAUUGCCAUCGCUCAACGGAUAAAAGCUACCCUGGGGAUAACAGGCUUAUCACUCCCAAGAGUUCACAUCGACGGAGUGGUUUGGCACCUCGAUGUCGGCUCAUCGCAUCCUGGGGCUGUAGUAGGUCCCAAGGGUUGGGCUGUUCGCCCAUUAAAGCGGUACGCGAGCUGGGUUCAGAACGUCGUGAGACAGUUCGGUCCCUAUCCGGCGCGGGCGUAGGAUAUUUGAGAGGAGCUGACCUUAGUACGAGAGGACCGGGUUGGACGAACCGCUGGUGUAUCGGUUGUCAUACCAAUGGCAUGGCCGAGUAGCCAAGUUUGGAAGGGAUAAACGCUGAAGGCAUCUAAGCGUGAAGCCCCCCUCAAGAU